rnacentral:tRNA from 1 species
CAGGGAGACAACAAAAUGUUAAAUAUUAAUUUUGUCACCUUAGGUCGAUCGGUAUCUCACAUUCUUAAAUAUAUUUAAGGAUUUUAUUUCCUAAGUUUUUUCUAGGUCACACCCAUUUUUUCCCUGGGCCAUUAGCUCAGGUGGUUAGAGCGCACCCCUGAUAAGGGUGAGGUCCCUGGUUCAAGUCCAGGAUGGCCCAUAUCUCUAUGUUGGGGGUAUAGCUCAGUUGGUAGAGCGCCUGCUUUGCAAGCAGGAUGUCAGCGGUUCGAGUCCGCUUACCUCCACUGAUUACCACCUCUUCCAUAAUUUAGAAGGGAGAUUUUUGUGUUGUGAUCAAAUUCUGAACGAAUCUAGCUUCCUAAUAAAUCUUAUUAAGAUGCUGGACUCAUUGAAUUUAAUUCAUUGUUUUCAGAGAACCUUGACAACUGCAUAGAUUAUUUUUAAAGACAAUGAGCAUCUUUAAUGAUGCAGAUUUAUUAUUUUUGUGAAUGCAUUAAUAACAAUUCUAUUAAGCUGAUGCUUCAA